rnacentral:rRNA from 1 species
AUUGAACGCUGGCGGCAGGCCUAACACAUGCAAGUCGAGCGGAUGAAGGGAGCUUGCUCCUGGAUUCAGCGGCGGACGGGUGAGUAAUGCCUAGGAAUCUGCCUGGUAGUGGGGGAUAACGUCCGGAAACGGGCGCUAAUACCGCAUACGUCCUGAGGGAGAAAGUGGGGGAUCUUCGGACCUCACGCUAUCAGAUGAGCCUAGGUCGGAUUAGCUAGUUGGUGGGGUAAAGGCCUACCAAGGCGACGAUCCGUAACUGGUCUGAGAGGAUGAUCAGUCACACUGGAACUGAGACACGGUCCAGACUCCUAAGGGAGGCAGCAGUGGGGAAUAUUGGACAAUGGGCGAAAGCCUGAUCCAGCCAUGCCGCGUGUGUGAAGAAGGUCUUCGGAUUGUAAAGCACUUUAAGUUGGGAGGAAGGGCAGUAAGUUAAUACCUUGCUGUUUCGACGUUACCAACAGAAUAAGCACCGGCUAACUUCGUG